rnacentral:rRNA from 1 species
UACGGGGGGAGCAAGCGUUGAUCGGAUUUACUGGGCGUAAAGGGCGCGUAGGCGGCCACUGCAAGUCGGUUGUGAAAUCUCCGGGCUUAACCCGGAAAGGUCAAUCGAUACUGCAGGGCUAGAGUGCGGAAGGGGCAACUGGAAUUCUCGGUGUAGCGGUGAAAUGCGUAGAUAUCGAGAGGAACACCUGCGGCGAAGGCGGGUUGCUGGGCCGACACUGACGCUGACAGCGCGAAAGCUAGGGGAGCGAACGGG